GAGGGUAUAGCUCAGAGGUAGAGCACAUGUUUAGCAUGCGUGAGGUCCUGGGUUCAAUCUCCAGUACUUCCU
rnacentral:tRNA from 1 species